GGCGACGGCGGGGGCGACCGGGCGCUGGCUAACAGGGCGCAGGUGGCCCGUAGCCUCCCUCCGCCCCGGGGGCCGCCCUCGGGCGCGCCGGUCCCCGCGGCGGCCUUCACGUCGCCUCCCCUGCCCGCCGGCCGGUCAGCGCGCUGGGCCUGGUUUCCGCCGCCUCCCCCCGGACCACUUAGUCUCAACCCGGGUGUGGUUUCCACUGCUAGAGAAUGAAACAUGACUGAGGACUCACAGAGAAACUUCCGUUCAGUGUAUUAUGAGAAAGUGGGGUUUCGUGGAGUUGAAGAAAAGAAAUCAUUGGAGAUUCUCCUAAAAGAUGACCGGCUCGAUAUCGAGAAACUUUGUACUUUUAGUCAGAGAUUCCCUCUCCCGUCCAUGUACCGUGCGUUGGUAUGGAAGGUGCUUCUAGGGAUCCUGCCUCCACACCAUGAGUCCCAUGCCCAGGUGAUGUUGUACCGCAAGGAGCAGUACUGUGAUGUCCUUCACGCCCUGAAAGUCGUUCGCUGUGUCACUGAGGCCACGCCUCAGGUUGAAGUCUAUCUCCGCAUGUACCAGCUGGAGUCUGGAAAGUUGCCUCGAAGUCCUUCCUUUCCACUGGAGCCAGAAGAUGAAGUAUUUCUUGCCAUUGCCAAAGCCGUGGAAGAGAUGGUAGAGGACAGCGUCGACUGUUACUGGAUCAUCCGAUGCUUUGUGAACCAAUUAAAUAACAAGUACCGGGAGUCUUUACCCCAGCUGCCAAAGGCUUUUGAACAAUACUUGAAUCUGGAAGAUAGCCGACUGCUGAGUCAUCUGAAGACGUGUUCUGCGCUGUCCAAACUUCCUUAUGAUCUCUGGUUCAAGAGGUGCUUCGCAGGGUGCUUGCCCGAAUCCAGUUUACAGAGGGUUUGGGAUAAAGUUGUAAGUGGAUCCUGUAAGAUCUUAGUUUUUGUAGCUGUGGAAAUUUUAUUAACCUUUAAAAUAAAAGUAAUGGCUCUGAACAGUGCAGAGAAGAUAACAAAGUUUCUGGAAAAUAUUCCCCAGGACAGCUCGGACGCAAUCGUGAGCAAGGCCAUCGACUUAUGGCACAAGCACUGUGGGACCCCGGUGCACUCAGCCUGACCACUCCCAACACGUGCACGGCCUGCCAGGUCCCCCCUGAGCAGUGUGCUCUCGGGACACGGUCUACUAAACUCAUUGAAAAUAGGGUUCUGCUUUGGCACCAAAGCAUCAUUUUUUCCAGUAAAAUGAUUUACGACACCUGGUGACGUUGUGUUGUGGAGCAGCAUCUUUUGGGUGCACAGAGGAGCCCGAGGGGUGAGUUGGACCCUGUACCCAGAAGAGGAGGGAGACCAUGAAAUUAUGGAGCUGUAAUUCGGACAAUUCAUUCCUUCCCUGGUGUGUAAAAUAACUGUUGGGAAAAAACUCAGAAGGGAGUCGAGUUGUUGAAACCAGCUGGUACUUCUGUAUAGUAACAUAUCCAAGAGUGUUUCAUUUUUAAAACAAAAAAAUACACCCAGAAGAAAACUCCUUAAAGCAAAAUGCUGCCUACAGUUGAUGCUUUGCAUUCAUUCAGUGACUGGCUCUGCCCCCAAAGAACUUUCCAGCCAGUUGGAGAUCUGAGAGAAAACAUGUAAGAAGGGAUUCCUGCUCCAGUUGUCUACUAUUUGGUGAUUUUGGGGGAUAUGUGAAAUUCACAGACAAGUCCUAUAACAAAAAUAAUUUUAUUUCUAUUUAAUUUAUAGCCGCAUAACAUUAGUACAACUUUUUAGUAAAAUACAGAUUAUAAAGUGAUAGUAGAUUUCAACUUCAGAAAAAGAGGAAACAAAGAAUUAGCAACCUCUCAACAAGAGGAUAGUUUCAAGUGUCUUCAUAAACAUAGAAGAAAAAGCUCUUAACUCUGCUCUGCUAGGAGAUACUGAGGGCCAUUGGACGGUUGGGUGUGUGUGGCUUCUGCCUAAUAACGGAUGGAAUCAACACAUUGUCCACGGGCUUGUGGCCUUGCCUUCCGGAGGUUAAAAAGUAAGUGGACAGUUAGUUGCCCGGUGAGGUGAGGAUUCCCCACCUUGCUCCUGGGAGCCGGUCUUACUGUAGGGUAACCACAGGAGGAAGCUGGAGAAUGUGAUCCGAGAAGAACAUGGGAAAAAUCCUUCAAGCAAGCAACUUGUCCUGAACGGGCAGAACUCCAAAUAGAGUAUCACAGUGGGUGCUUAGUGUUCAGACCUCAGAUCCCACCUGAAAUGGAGGUACGAACGUGUCGUUUACCAGGAACUUGUGUGCACACACGCCAGGGACCGCAGGCUCACACGCUCGCCUCUUGCCUCUGACCCCCCUGUUCGGUCCCUCCCGCCGCCCUCCUUCUCCCGGAGGGUUAGCAAGUAGCAACCUGGCAUUUGUAGCUUUGGCGUCUCUCUUUUCCCACCUCUGCCUGCACUCGGGACUUAAUGCCGUGAAGGUUUGUGAGGGAGGCAGCGAGGAGGAGGAGAGCUUUGGACAGUUCACUUCCAGAUGUCAGAAGGCUGCCCUCAACGCCGUGACGAACGUCCGUCCCCACCUCCCCUUCCUCCCCUUCUCCCCCUUCCUUUCUGUUUGGUUCGUUUACUUUGCUAGUAGUUCUCAUUCAGUCAUUGAAAUCGGUAUGAACACACUCCUAAUUAUGGGCCAGGAACUGAGCCGAACUGCUGAACGAGUCACGAGUCACGGGGUGUCUGACCUCUUGGAGAUUUUAAUCAUGUGGGGAAGACAGAUACGAAAUUAAACAAGCCCAACGCA